rnacentral:rRNA from 1 species
UACGAACCGUCCUAACGUUGUUCGGAUUCACUGGGCUUAAAGGGCGCGUAGGCGGCCUGGUAAGUCCGGGGUGAAAUCUUUCGGCUCAACCGGAAAAGUGCCUUGGAAACUGCCAGUCUCGAGGGGGGUAGGGGGCUGUGGAACUUCGGGUGGAGCGGUGAAAUGCGUUGAUAUCCGGAGGAACGCCGGUGGCGAAAGCGACGGGCUGGACCACUUCUGACGCUGAGGCGCGAAAGCCAGGGGAGCAAACGGG